UUUUUUGCUAUCUUGAAGGAGUUUGCAAUGCCCUCGAGCCCAGAUCCUUGUGUGGAGCUCUGCGAACUGCAAGGAUCUGGCGAGAGUCAGAGUGAGAAUAAAGAGUGCAGUGGAGACAGCGGCAGUGCCGUAGAACAUGACCCUGAUGUUAUGGGUCGUCAGCUCUUCGUCGUUGGACAUGUUGGGAACCAAAACGGGAGGCAACAGGAAGCCGAUGGCCGUGCCCAACUGUGGAACACACACACAACGACACAGUUACAGAGACAAUAAACCCACAAAGUGACACAGUUGAGGAGACAACAUGCACACACACAUAAUGACACACGGUGACAACAAACACAGACACACACACAUAGUUACACAGAGACGUGAUCACAUGUCAGAACUUGUUUUUGUAAGAAAAUGCUUGAGUACCAAUAAACCACACCUUCGCUUUUCUAGUAGGCCUACUUCUUGACAGCUCAGAUGUCACUUCCUGUCUACGUUUGUAUGAAAUCCAUCAUGGCUUCACUGCCAUGUGUGUACAUUUUAGACUGGACUAGUUCUGCGGUAUUAAUGCUGUAUUAUUAGUGCAGGCCGCAUAUAGUAUUGUGAGUUUUAUUGUGUCAAAGUAUGAUAGUGUAUUGUUUUUAUUCAUUUGUUCGUCUUUAUGCGAGUAGUCAAAAGUACGUGUAUUUGUGAACGUAAUGCAUGUGUUUCAACACUAUGUUGGUCCUAAAAGCACUGACCUGGUUUCCAAGUACGGCGGUGGCACAGGCGGUGGAAACCUCCUUGGGUCCGAACCACACGGAGGCGAUGCGGGACGGCAGGCCGAGGAUGAAGACCUGCGCCACGGAGCAGAUAACCUGGGCCACCAUGGUGACGGCGAAGAGCUCCGGACCCACGCUGGCGCACUUGAGCCAGGCGCCGGCGCAGUUGAGCCCCACCCCCAGCACGGCGGUGAGGCGCAGACCCCGGCGGUCCAGCAACCAGGUGGCGGGGAAAAUGAGCGGCACGUAGACCAGCAUGUAGACGAUGGAGAGCCAGUUGAUCGUGUCGUUGCUCACCUGGUAAAAGCGUGUAAAAACGUGGGCGAUGAUGCUGUACUGGAUCCACUGGAAGGCGUUGACCAGCGAGUAGAGGCUGAACACGGCCAGAACCACGAAGCGGCUCCAGUAGAGCCUGGUCUGUAGACGCUGCAGGUCCUUCUGCUCCUCUUCUCCAUCUUUUGCUUCUCCCACACCAGCUAGCAUCGCCUCGCUUUCAUCUGCCUCCUCUAGCGCCUCCUUGUCCAGCCCGGGGUCACCGGUACCGGCGGGGAGGAUGUCUCCGACCGCUCCCUCUGGCAACUUCCGGUCCACGGCGAUGAGUUCAGACCACCGCCAGAGGAGCACGCGGAGAAGGACCUGACAUGGUUACCAGCGAGCAGACAUGUUUCUCAGGAACCAGCCCGCCUUAAGCCUUUGUUGUAAGGAGGAUGGUCUCACGCUGCAUGGACCAAUAGGAGAGCAGCAGUUAUUACUCACCGUCAUGAUGCGAAUACAAUUAUAAUUAUUGCUGUAUAUAGCAUCUAAAUAAAAUUACGCUUAGAAUUGUAACAAAGAAAACAAUAUUUCAACGAGAAAGUCAACAUAUAAAGCACGUACGCCAUUAGUUUGAAAUAUUUUCUUCUAUUCCUGUAGCAGCAAAUAUACGUGACAUGCCUACUUGGCGGCCAUCUUAGCAGGGGCCACUUCCCCAUUAAAGGCAAGGCAAUACAUUGUUGUAUUGUGAAAAUAAAGCAUAACUGGUUUAUUUCGAAA